ACAUCCCAUAAUUGAUGUUAGUUUCAAUAUUUGCUCAACACCUUAAAAAAAACUUAGGAAAUAUAUCCUGAGCUAGACUAUGAUAUAUCAAGUUCUUGUUCAUCGUCUAAACUUGCAUCUUCACUUGUAAAACUUUAUUCUUCAAAAUCUGCAAGUACAAAAUUUUGAAAAGAGGGUAAAACAACUAUUGGUAUAAUACAAAAAACAACAACAUAUUAUGGUAAUGGAAUAUUUGUCAAGGAUUCUAAACAACAUUAGUGCUUUACCCGAUUUCAAAUUCCAUCCAAAUUCUGGAAAAAAACUACAUUCGCACUUGGUAUUCUCCCUAUCAAGUACUUGGGACUGCCACUUACCUCAAAAAAGUGGACAAAGAUGGAUUUACAACAACUAGUAAAUAAAAUUAUAGCAAGAAUGCAAGCUGCUUCUGCUAAGCAUUUGUUUUAAGUAGUUAUGGCAGUGCUUUUUUCCAUUCAUAAUUAUUGAGGAGCAGUUUUUAUCUUACCUCAAUGUGUUUUAAAGGAGAUUGAUAGGAAGUGUAGGGAGUUCUUAUGGAAUGCAACUGUGGAGGAGGCUAGAAAGGGAUUUAUCACACGGCUGGCAUGUCAAAGGAGGCUACUCACUCGUGAGGGAUUGCUAAAAAUAAGAAUUUUAGUGGAGGAUCGAAAUUGUUGUUUGUGUGAGAAGAGGGUACUGGAGACACAACAACACUUGUUUAUGGAUUGUAGGUGGAUUAAUGGUGCGAAAAUCAUGAUGUGUACACGGCUAGGUGUUCAAUUACCAUGCAGAGGAGUUUACAAAACAAUUAAAUGGAUCAAAAGGAGAAGGUGGAAGCAGUUUCAAAAGGAAGUUAUUGCAGCAGCCUGGGGUGCAUUGGUCUACGACACCUGGAUAGCUAGUCACAAGAGAGUUUUUAAUCACCAGAAUGUAAAUGUUUAAUUUGUUACUGCACAAAUACAAAAGGAACUAAGAGAAAGAAUAGAUAUGUUUCAGGUGUCAAGAAAAGCACAUAAAUGUCAUAGUUUUAUACAACUAAUUUGUAACUAGUUUUUCUGGAGAUCUAGUGGUUUUAAGACACCCUUCCUAGAAGUUGGUUGAGGAACUCUAGAUGCUCAUUAGGCUGUACUCUUUUUCUUGUUAUGGUAAUAUUUCAUAUGUGUUACCAAAUAACAACAACAUAUAUACCUAGUUGGACAUAUUAUAGAAAACACCCAACAUCCACUUCAGAACAUAUUUUUCUUUUGAAGGGUACAGAACAGUGCAAGAAUCAUAUAACGGCAGUGUAUAAAACAUCCUCUACCAAACAGAAACUGAGCAUCCAAAUUACAACUCCCAUGGUGCAAACUAUGGCAUAUUAACAUGGAAGUACUCAUGAUUCUAGACUAAAAAUACAACAAACUAGUACCUGUUAAUUUAUAGUCACUAUAGGAAGAAACAAUCUGCAGCAAGCUUGUAGUAGACAACCUACUAGGAGAUAACAAAUCUUAUGCACGCCUCAUUAAGAUUAAGUUCAUUUCGGACAUUAACAAGCACACCAUAUACCAACAGAAAGCUAAACUGCUUACCUCAAAAGCAAUCUGAUUUACUUCAAGUAAUGUCCAAAACAUCAACAAAGCUGUGAGAAUACAAGAACACUUAAUUAGACAAGCGUUCGAUGCAUAUACUACGAAGAACUGAAGCUUGUAACAAUGAUUGUUGCCUUACAGUUUAUUUCUUCUUCUUCAGAAAAUGCAUUCACUAUCAACCAUAAAUAUAUGCAUUAUCAAGUGAGACAAUUUAACAUAGGAAUCAAAAAAUUAAAGAAGUCAUCUACUGUAUGGCAAUCUGUCAAGUAGAUUAGGACUUUGGAUAGGAUGAUAGGUUAUCCAUAUAGCAGUACUUAUAAUCAAAUAAGCAUCCAACCUUAAACGACUUCAAAACCAAUAAUAAGAAACUCAAUACUUGAUCAUCUAACCAACAAUACAAUAGUAACAAUAUUCACAAAAGCCAGCACAGACAAACAUACAAAGUUAGAGCUUAAAAAAGACUUCUAACGUUUUUUGCCUUCUUUUUUCUUCUGAUUCAGCACUAACAAAAAUUAGUCAUACUUAAUACACACAUAUAUAGUAGAUCUCAAAGAAAUAGCUGCACAGAAGCAAUUCAUUUAUGCAUACGAGCUGCAAUGCAUCACUGGUAUAACAUGAUGAAGACCUUAGCCAUGAGGUCAUUGAAACUCAGAUCUAUGUUUUGGACAGCAACAAUUUUUAAUAGGACAACAAAUUCAAUUGCUACCUAAAAGGGCCAUAACAAGAACACUAACUAUAUGUACCUGAACCAGAAAACUAACUGUACAUUUCUAAAGUGAGAUCCUGACUAUACCUUCCUACACCCAUGUUAUUACCACUCAAUAUAGCACAGAAGCACUAUGAUAUUUAAACCAAUUUGCAUUGAUCGCGACUAAUUCUUUGCACGCCAACUAAGUAGGGUUCAUCGAGCCGAUUAUCAACAAGUUACAUCCAUUGUUUACUAGGAGCCAUAACCUUAAAAGGUACAUAAAAAUGAAGAGUUAAUUACAAUUGAUGGACAGAAUACAUUCUACUCUUUUUCCCAACUUAUAAAAGGUAAGUUUUACCAUGAUCAAGAAGGCCAAUAAAAAGAUUUAUCUUUGGAAAUAUAUCUUCUUGUUCAUAAACAAGUCAGAAUUCAGAAUGCUCUGAACAAAUGUGAUUAUGCAGAAGCUUUUUCAUAUCAAGUUCCUGUCAAUGGAAGGAAGUAUAAUGUUAUUGUUUUACUCUAAAAAGCUAAAGCGUGUGUUAAAUUGGAGGAAAGUUAAUAGGAUUAAGCCUCCAAUAGGUGUUGUUAAGGCUUACACAAAUGGCAUUUUCAAUACUAAUAAAUGAAAAGGAUGGCAUUACAGAUAUUAUAAAAAGUGUGAAUUCGGAUCUCAUUAUGACUUUCUCAAUUUCGACUUAAUGCACUAGCAAUAAUGAGCUUAUGCAUGGAAUCAGAUUAGGGAAUAAAGAACCAAGACCCUCAUCAAUUCCCAUACUUGGCUCAAACUUAUUCCUUUCAAGUGUUCUUUUCAUCUUUGGAGAACUUGAAGAGGAAAACUUCCUACUCAUGAGAAGGUCAUCAACUUUGUCAAGAAACCUUUAGACUGUUACUGCUGCUAUAAACCUGGCAGGGACACUAUAGAGCAUAUUUUCUUGACUGACAGGGACACAAUUCAUGGGCUCUUAGUUCUUCAAACAAGCAACCAGACUCGGGGUAAUCUAAACCACUGGAGUGGUUGUUAUUAAGGUAUACAACACGAUAUGACGUCUAUGGUUAUGCCCAACCAAUUUAUUGGGUGCUAAGUGGAAAACAAUAAGUGCAGAAGAGAAAAAGCCUUAUGAGGAAAAAUACCAAGCUGAGAAAGAAGUUUACUUGAAAAUCGUUGGAAUGGAGAAGUGCGAACAUGAAGCAAUGAGACUCUUGGAUGACGAGCAGAAACAAAAGACAGCUAUGGAGUUACUUGAACAAUACAUUCAAUUUCAACAAAGAUCAAUAGUGAAUGAAAACCAGAAGAAAAAGAAAGAAAAGGACCCCUUGAAACCAAAACAACCUUUAUGAGCAUUUUUCCUGUUUACAAACGACCGUCGAGCUGCUCUACUCCGGAAUAACGCAACAGUUGAAGCAAUGGAAUCGUACAAAAAGGAAAUGGAAGAAUACAAUAAAACUGCAGCUGACAAGCAGAGCAACAAUAAUUAGAAGCAAUAAGAAAUAGGUGCUUCUUAGAACAAGUUCAACUGGUUAUGUUGAACAUAGAAAAUGCCUGCUAGUUAGAGUUGAAAACUUGAAAUAGUCAUUUGAUGUCCAUGUCAUUUUUUCCUGUUGUUAGUUUAUUUCAUUUGACUUCUAAUGGAUGACUUUGGAUUUAGUCAUAUUGGCUGAGUUAAUUGUUCAAAAAUAAUUAUUACUUGUAACCAAGAAGAUGAGUCAUUCGAUUACAAGUCAUAUACACGUAUAUGUCUGCAUUUCUCAUGUAAAUGGCUAGCAAAAUCCCUACACCAAUAUUUUUUGUAUUGACUGUACAUAUGAAAUCAUUAACCUAUUUAAUGUUAAAAAAGAGGAAGAAGGAGCAACUUGAAUACACAAGAAAAAAACACCAUCAAUAUAACUUAUGGAUUUAACACAAUAACUCGAUUAGAAGAUGAACCCACCUGAAAUUUUGUCUCAAAAAAGCUGUGAUGGAAUCUGUUUCGAGCACAGCAGCAACAAAUUGAUGAAGAAGAAGAAACCUGCUGCGAUGGAAUUUGUUAUGAGCAGAGCAACAACAAAUCGAUGAAGAAGAAGAAACCUUUGUCGAUUUAAUCGAAGACUGAUGUUGAGAUUAGGGCAUACAUUAACAACACAUCAAAGAAGACACCUCUAUCGAUCUAUGGGUAGAGCAUUGUUCAGAUUAGGGCAGAGAAUGGUUGAGAUUAGGUAGAGCACAUUGAGUUUCAAUUAUGAGUUGAAGAAUAUCAGUGGAGAGGUUUUUUUUUUGUGUGGUGAGCUGAAGAGAUUAUAAGCGAUUAAGUCUUGUUCCUUUUCCUUUCUGUACUAUUUUUUCCGUGCACUACAUUUUUUGUAGAAAAAAAAAUUUCAUCUGGAGGAAAAAUCUCCCGCUCAAGCCUCAAUGCCUCUAAUUACAUUUUGGGACUAGUUAGUAUGUUUUUUAGGGACCGAAUUUAAUACCUUCCCUAUAAAAUAUAUCAAUAAGGACCGAAAUAUAACUCGUCCCAAUAGAUAUACUUUUAGAGACAAGAAUAUAGACUCGUCCUUAAAUGUUGGUCUUAAUUAAGGC
rnacentral:lncRNA from 1 species